GAUGAACGCUAGCGAUAGGCCUAACACAUGCAAGUCGAGGGGCAGCAUAAAGGUAGCAAUACUUUGGUGGCGACCGGCGCACGGGUGAGUAACGCGUAUGCAACCUACCUACUACAAGGGGAUAACCCGGAGAAAUUCGGACUAAUACUCUAUAAUACAGGGGUCCCGCAUGGGAAUAUUUGUUAAAGAUUUAUUGGUAGUAGAUGGGCAUGCGUUCCAUUAGGUAGUUGGUGAGGUAACGGCUCACCAAGCCAUCGAUGGAUAGGGGAACUGAGAGGUUUAUCCCCCACACUGGAACUGAGACACGGUCCAGACUCCUACGGGAGGCAGCAGUGAGGAAUAUUGGUCAAUGGAGGCAACUCUGAACCAGCCAAGUCGCGUGAAGGACGACGGCCCUACGGGUUGUAAACUUCUUUUGUAAGGGAAUAAAGUUUAGUACGUGUACUAUUUUGCAUGUACCUUACGAAUAAGGAUCGGCUAACUCCGUGCCAGCAGCCGCGGUAAUACGGAGGAUCCGAGCGUUAUCCGGAUUUAUUGGGUUUAAAGGGUGCGCAGGCGGGAUGUUAAGUCGGCGGUGAAAUUUUGCGGCUCAACCGUAAAAGUGCCUUCGAAACUGGCGUUCUUGAGUGUAGAUGAAGUAGGCGGAAUUUGUGGUGUAGCGGUGAAAUGCAUAGAUAUCACGAGGAACUCCGAUUGCGCAGGCAGCUUACUAAGCUACAACUGACGCUCAUGCACGAAGGCGUGGGGAUCAAACAGG
rnacentral:rRNA from 1 species